GUUGCGAGGCCUUACAUGCACGUUCUUUGGUGGAAAGAAGACUGGAAUUGUCGGUAGGACAGGCAGUGGUAAAUCUACUCUAAUACAGACCCUCUUCCGCAUAGUUGAACCAGCUGCUGGACAAAUUAAAAUAGAUGCUACCAGCAUCUCCUCAAUUGGUCUGCAUGAUCUACGGUCUAGAUUGAGUAUAAUUCCACAGGAUCCAACUAUGUUUGAGGGGACAGUUCGCAGCAACCUAGACCCGCUUGAAGAAUAUUCAGAUGAACAAAUUUGGGAGGUGACAGCUUGGUUUUAACAGUUCGCAGCAACCUAGAUCCGCUUGAAGAAUAUUCAGAUGAACAAAUUUGGGAGGUGACAGCUUGGUUUUGCCUAUUUUUGGAUUUAUUUUGUUUCAGAUAGGAAAAUGACAACUUUUAUUUUAUUGAGACUUUGUUUGAUGUUAUGCUUCAGGUGCUCGAUAAGUGUCAACUAGGAGAAGAAGUGAGGAAGAA
rnacentral:lncRNA from 1 species